rnacentral:lncRNA from 1 species
GCACCAUGAGUUUGUUAUUAUUUACAGCAAAUCAAAUGCAAAGACACAGAAGUCUACCAUCAAAGAGAGAAACAUCUCAAGUUUGAAAGAGCUUUAACUUCUUGUUGUUGAUGAAAAAGUCCUUUUGCCAUUGAGUAUCAUCAGGUGGGUUAUUCUGGAUGUUCAUUAGUAGCAGCUAUAUCAAGGGAGGGUCUUAAAAUGUUAAAAUUAAAUUUUAAAGUUAAAAUCACAAUGUGACCAAAUACUUAUGUUGUCCCUAAAAAAUGUGAAUGCCGUGAUUACCUUUGUCACACGCAGUUUAUCCCACUGACAAGAAGUAAGGGGCUCAGUUUCUUUUAAAAAUUUUAUUUUUAAUAUUGAAGCUAUUCUAAAGUAUCUCACUGUAUCUGAGAUACGCUUUUCCCUAUUUUUGCCCAUCAUUACUGGUUUUUACAGAAGAGGCUGUUUUACAGAAGAGUGCUUGUUAUACAAAUAAGGUAAUUCUGGCUGCCCACAAGUCACCUGAGAUAUUCAGGUGAGAUGCAUACCUGACUAUAAAAUACAACUGAUUUUCUUACUAGCGAGAUGUAAUUUAUCUUUAUUUUUUCCUUAACCAGACAUGCAAUCCCUAUUGCUGGAAGAAGCAUAAUAACAAAAAAACCCUUUUCUUGAAAUUCGCAGACUACAGGAAGCAUCGUGGGAGCCUAUGAAUCAUCCAGAGCAACGAUAAACCUGUGGGUGUGGCUGUCAACAUGCAAAUACACGUGGAAAAAACAUGUAUGCCGCAUCAGUUCUGUUUUCGAAGAUUUGCGAUGGUUGUAAAAACCCCGUUCUGAGGGCUUACAUUUCAAAUACCUUAAUGAAGCCCUUGUGACACCUGGGGAGCAGCACUCAUUAAUAUGCAUUACUGUGUACCGCGAGUCAUUACAGCUGACGGUGAGCCAACGUUGGUGAGGAAUGUGGAAAGUUCCAGAACUCUUAUCAGCAGGGAUUAAAUGCCCUUUUUCCUGCCCUCCACACACAAAGUAAAUGGGAGUUUCAUCCAUACAUUAAACUUGAAAUUAAAAUAACAACAGAGAAGC